GGCGGUAUAGCUGUAAGUGUUUGAUUUUUAAAGGUGGAAUACGGCCUGCAAAGCCGUCUAGGUCGGUUCGACUCCGAUCCUCGCCUCCA
rnacentral:tRNA from 1 species